GAUGAACGCUGGCGGCGUGCCUAACACAUGCAAGUCGAGCGAUUUACUUCGGUAAAGAGCGGCGGACGGGUGAGUAACGCGUGGGUAACCUGCCCUGUACACACGGAUAACAUACCGAAAGGUAUGCUAAUACGAGAUAAUAUGCUUUUAUCGCAUGGUAGAAGUAUCAAAGCUCCGGCGGUACAGGAUGGACCCGCGCCUGAUUAGCUAGUUGGUAAGGUAACGGCUUACCAAGGCGACGAUCAGUAGCCGACCUGAGAGGGUGAUCGGCCACAUUGGAACUGAGACACGGUCCAAACUCCUACGGGAGGCAGCAGUGGGGAAUAUUGCACAAUGGGCGAAAGCCUGAUGCAGCAACGCCGCGUGAGCGAUGAAGGCCUUCGGGUCGUAAAGCUCUGUCCUCAAGGAAGAUAAUGACGGUACUUGAGGAGGAAGCCCCGGCUAACUACGUGCCAGCCGCCGCAGUAACAC
rnacentral:rRNA from 1 species